rnacentral:ncRNA from 2 species
CUGAAUAAUUUUCUCCGAGCUGCUCUCCCUAAGGGGUCGCCUAUGGGGUUCAGCCGUUAGGAAAAAGGGGAAACCCUUUUUCCCCCCGUGCUUGGAAAGGAGAACUGCAUCAACUGU